AAAUUCAGCAGGGUUUCAACAACAUAACAAACUUGGAAAUUCAGCAGGGUUUCAACAAAAUAACAGACCACGACAGUACCAAGGGAGUGCCACUAGUGAGCAUCCGACAGAUUACUGCUGCACACCAUUACAGCAGCAUACACACACAUACACAUAACAGAACGGAGGAGAGGCGAAAGCAUCAACUGAAGGCCGUCACUCAGUGGCAACCAGCGGCAUGUUUCUGCGGCCUGAUCCAGUCGUGCAGCACCAUGGUCACCCUGUCGUGCUGCUUCACGGAGGAUCCGUGCAGGAGCGGGGCGGCGCGGGCGAGGACGCGGUUGUAGUGGACGUACUCCUUCUGCCGGAACCUCUCCUGCUCGGGCGGCGUCAUCUCGUCCCACUGAGCGUGCAGCUUCUCUGACAGGCUCCGGUCGAUGUUGUACCUGGUGGCGCCGAAGCACGUCUGGCUCAGGACCCGCCUUGCCAGGGUCUGCAGGUCGGGCACGCGAGCCCCGUGGGUCGACCACCAUUCAACUGCGAAUGUCGAGUGAAGCGCGGUAAGAAGGUGCGUAAUUCAUGUAGUAUGAUAUGAACGGAUGAAUGAAAUGGUGAUCAUCUCAGUGGGUGUAAAUGUUUGGGUUUGAAAGUUGAAGUGAAAAUGGAAGAAGAGAAGGCUCCUGUACAGUUUAAGCAGACCAUAUAGCCCAGUUUGCAACUUGCAACUAACUAAGCAGCUAUGUUGACAAGCUUAGGCUGAUGCAGAGAACUUGAUUAUUCUACACGUUCAUCUGUAAACCUUUUAACUUCUCUACUACUCCCUCUGUCCCAUAAUGCAAAAACGUCUUACAUUAUGGAACGGCGGGAGCAUUUAUUUAAACAACCAUGUCGACAAGUUAGGCUAAUGCAGAGGAGUUGAACUUUGAAUAGAAGUGCACUUAUGACAUGAUAUAUUUGUGCCAUGUUCACAUGCUAACUAAAUAUGUUGGCGCACUGUAUGUUACGGUGCACAAAUGCACAUAUCAGAUUUUGUGGAGGACCUCAGACACUAUUCCAGCUCACUCUAAAGAUUGGAAAAAAUCAAGUACAUAUGACACAUAAAGGCACUACCGUCAGUGGCUUGUUAGGGAGUGGUCAUUUUGCAAUAGGUUAGGGUGUAGCUUACCUUGUGGUAAUUCCAUGAUUUGCUGCAUUGCUGGAUCUGUGUCGAAAUAGCCCAACUUCUUUUCAUACACUUCCAAUUGUGCAGACGCUUUUCUGGCAUUGUAAUGAGCCUUGCCCAGUUGGAUUGUGCAUGCCGCGAUGCCGCCGCUGAUCUCAGCAUCAGGCUGGAAUCCAGCUGUGUAAAAGAACCUUGGGUUUAGCAUCUGACCAGCAGCAUGGAGGGGACUAUGCAAGUAACCAUCCCAUAUCCUGUCAAUCAUACACCAAUAGAAGUCACUUUCAUAUCCGACACUGAGAGAUAUCUCUUCUUUUGCUCUGUCCAUGGCUUCAUACAAGAUACCCAUCGGACAGAUAUCAGAUUCCAGUUUAUACAACACAAUGACAAGUGGUUUUGUAACCUUCACGACUUCAGCAGCAGCAUGCCAAAAUUCAUCGUCUGUCUUUACUAUGCUCUGGAUAUGCUCAAACAAAUCAAGACAAGCCCAACCAGAGGGAACCCAUUUAGGCGAGCUGAACAUCUGCACCAGACCUACUCUUGCAGAAACUAACCUCUCUAAUGUGAUGAACACUGCCACAAAUCUCAGAUAAGAACUGCUCAAAAUCUCCACCUGAACAUAUCUUCCUUUCAGUUUCAUUGGCAGUGCAUGGCCAUAUAAAAACCUUGUAAUUUCCCUUGCCUUCAUUAGGACUUCACUGACAUGCUCGAGCGCUGCUAUUUUCUCAAGCAGAAGGUUGAUGCAAUGGUCAGCACAUAGCACGAAGAAAAAACUGUCAUAUUUAUUUAGCACAUACUGCCGUGCCAUCUGCAUAUGGGGUGACACGUCAUUCAUGACAAUCUGAACAAUGUUAUGGGCACCGACAUCAUCAACCACGCGAGAAAGCAUUGAUUCUAGCUCAUCCAAGUCCUCAGUGAUUUCAGAGACGUCAAUGGAUGUGAGGAACUGCGUACCUUUGCUGCAGUGCACCAGGACACUUACGAAGCUUUUGUCACACUUGCUCUUCCAACUAUCAACAAUUACAGUGCAGCCACUUGUUUGCCACUCUUGCUUGAGUUCCUUUGCGCGGUUCUCAGUUUCUCUUAGUUGCUCCUGCAGAACAGCUUCGUACGUAGGCUCAGGUGCAGGUUUGGAGAAGAACUUGCCUAUUGAUUUUGCUGACGGAGAAUCGAAGUAAUCACUUGCCUCAACCUUGGGUUUCAGUUGACAAGAAUUAUAUGUGAUUUCCUUGGGCUGCCUCAAAUACGGUAGAAAAUGAAGAAAGCAGCGGUUAUUGGAUACAGUUGGUUGUAGCUGUGGUUGCUGGACUUGAGCAGAUGGAAGGGCUGGGCUUGUGUGAGGAACCUCAUCAUGUUCAUGCUUCCGUUUCUUCAUUUUUCUGAGCAUCCAAGCUUUCUCUUCUUGCGAUCCACAAGUGAACUCCUUAAGCUUGUGCUGGCAUUGCCCCUGAUGUCUGCUAAAUGGUGCUCUAGGCGGUUGUAACUCAAAACCACCUUAACGCAGUAAUUGCAGCUCACUCUGCAACCUUCCUCAUCAAUGGUUUUGCCAUGCCUUUCUUUUCCACGGCUACUUGUCUGAGGAUAUUGUACAGAAAAAACCUGAAGGAAAGCAAUGAGAGAUACUUCAGUAAUGCAAAAAUUAAAAUGUCAAAUUCCCAAAACAUGAGUGCAACAUUUCACCAAUGAUUAGAUUUCAUCUGCUUCCUCUUAAUGACAGCACAUGAUGUAUGCUAGUGAUGAAUUUACCACAUGUCAACAGAGAAGACUGUGAUCCAACUAAACACUGUACCUUAGAAGUUUAUAAACACAGUAUUACUGGAUGAAACAGUUUGUUCUGUAUUUUUUUUCCCAAUAAAGAACAGUUUGUCUGUAUAACUCUUCAAGAAGAACACAUAAAGACUGCACGAUGAUCUUACAAAGCCAGUAACAUACCCCCUCUGACACCCUCCUCUCCCCCGCCGCUUGAUCUCCCUCCUCCGGCCAACUCCUCCACAACAAAGAGCAGAUCCGGAACCCUCUCGCCACCCAUACCGAAGUCCAGCGGCGCCGUCACCAGGGUCGGAGCCGCCGUCGACCUCCACGCCUGACUUCAUCCCAGCUCGCUCGCUCCCGUACGGCCCCCUCGGCCGCACCGGGGCGCCCCAGCCGGCCGCCCUCGGCCUACCCUGCCUCGCCCCUCCCCCUCGCCGCCGCUGGAGGGUGCCGUCUGGGCAAAGUCUGGGCGGCACGGGCGGCAGCGGGGCCUCAACUGUCUUUGGCGGCGCUGGUUCUCGGGGCUCCGACGGGGGCCUCGUGAUCCCGUGCGGUGCCAGGCGUGCUGCCCGACGGGGGUCUGUGCAGCGCUCGGGCGACGGCUCCGGCCGCGAGGGGCGCGGUGGUGCGCGGAUCGGGGUGUGUGCACCGCUCAGCGGCUGUGCUGAUUGCGCCCGGUUUCCUUUAGUACUGUAUAUCUGUUUUUCGCUCGGUGUUUCCUAAUUAAUCAAGAAACUUAUCUUUUUAAUGAAUGCAGAAAUCCCGUCAUUCGGAAAAACAAUACCCCUCUGAAACAAAUGGCGUGCAGUGACUUUUUUCCUGAUACUAAAAUUAAAAAAAGUUCAUAGUUUUAGCAAUUCCUUCAAAUCGGCUCAAACCCCUUUCAAAACCUAACAUUACGCUGCCCAAUUCACAAAAAACAGACAAAACCUAAAAUGAAGAAAGGGGAAUUCUUCGGGCAUGCUCCAAUGCACACCCUCUGUGUAGAAGAAAGCCGCAAAUGACUUUGACUGUUUGCCAUUUCUGGACAUUGACGAGACGACGGGUUUUAGUUGAGGAAAGGACAUUCACUGAUGGGUGGGUGAACAAAUUUUGUUGGAGAACAACAUUUCAUUCUUUUUACCAUGAUAUGCUUUUAAUAGUUAGAUCAGCAAUUAUUUCUGAAAUCGCGGUCACCAGAAAAGGCAACAGAAACUUCGGUGGAUUAUUGGGGCAAACCUCGAUGAACCAAGCAUGGUUCGAAAGAGAAUCCUACGGGGGUGGAUGUGUACUAGAGAGACAUUGGAAAACAAACAAAGAUAGGCUGGAAAAAAAUGUAAAACCCAAGUGAGAUGGGUGUUGUGUUGGAUACAUAUUCACUUGAUUGGUUACUUCGGAGAAUUUCAUCGGCAUAAACAAAAUUCCAAAGAACACCUUGGGAUAAUCCUAGUUCUUAAUGUUGCAUUUGAACAAUGAGAUUUCAAAAAAAGCCCGAGAAAUAUGCAUUUAGUUCUAAUAUACUCCCUAGAAAAAUAGAAAUGGUAUCAACAAAAACCUUUUAUGCUCCUAGUGAAUAAAUUGCUUUUACUUACCUUUGACUUUAGAUCUCGUCUUCUCCGUUCCAAGUGGGGCAAUGGUUGUGGUGCGCUGGAAAAGGGUGAAUGGUGCGGCGCGUCUGGGCCUUGCUAUAAUCCUAGUUGAAUAUCUGAACGCACUUACUGCACUUGAACAAUGAGAUUUCCAUGGAAGCCUGGGAAAUAUGCAUUUAGUUCUAAUAUGCUCCCUAGAAAAUACAAAAGAUGGUAUGAAUAGAAUCCUUUAUGCUCCUAGAGAAUAAAUUAUUUUUUCUUACCUUUGACUUUGGAUCUCGCCGUCUUCAUCCAAGAUGUAAAAAGAGGAUGGCCUGGGCAGCGACUGUGGUGCGUCGGGAAAGGGCGGAUGGUGCAGUGCGCCGGUGCCUUAGAAUACCACAAUCUCACCUAAGAGGAAACACAUAGAUGAUGGAUUUACGAGGGCAAACAUAUCUAGAGAGUGGAAGUGGCGGCGGUGGAUGGAGGAGAAGAUAGUUAGAUCUGGACAAUGUUCAUGGUUGCCGGUGGAGGAGAAGAUAGUUAGGUCUAAGGAGUGGUGGUGGCGGCGACGGAUGGAGGAGAAUAUGGUUAGAUCUAGACAAUAUUGAUGGUUGCAGGUGGAGGAGAAGAUAGGUGGGUCUAGAUAAUGUUGAUGGUUGUGUCGUGUGGGAGGGGAUGGCUUUAUAGUCGCGCGGUUUGGGACUAGGGGUGCGACCACGAUCCGCGUGAUGCGGGGUGCGGGCCGUCAGAUUGGAGAUGGGUGGCGGAGAAUGGGGUAAACGAGGUGGCGCGGAUAGGUGACGUGGCGGGGUAGGCGUGUUUCUUUUCUAAGGGUGAGGUAGGGUGCGGGGAUGCGAGGAAGGCGUGCGUGUCGGGUAGGUGGAUGCCAGUUGGGACUGGGCGUUUUUUGGAUGGAUUGCUUUUGCGCACGGCGUUGCUCGCUGUCGCAAGUUUUGGAUGGAUAUCUGGUCGAUGGGCCCAUGAGGUGUGUGGUCGUGAUGAGACUAGUGCGAAGGCGUAAAAUCAAAUUACUGCUAGGACAAUUUGGAAAGCGUAUUUCUAUGUUUUCCACGGUCAAUUGAUACGAGGGGUGCUUCUUUCAGGUAUUGUAUAACACGCCUCAACAAAAAAAGUACUCCCUUUGUUCAACUAUUAUCUAGUUGUUUCUCAGCAGCGGCCGUCACGCCACAUAACACCUCGACUUGCCCCCCAGGGUCUCGGAGAGUUAGCGACAUAGCCGCCGACGUUUGAUGGCAAUGACGCCCCUCCUCUCCUUGUUGUGUUGUGUUUCGUGGUCACUGCUACACUCUAGCUUUUUCUUUCUGAUCAACGUGGCGCUCAGUGGUGGCAGAGAGGAGGGAGGAGGCGGCAAGAGCGAGGAAGGAACUGGGGUUUUGGGGCGAGAUGGAAAUGACUUUGUCCGUUUGCCAUUUCCGGAGAUAGAUGAGACUAGGGGCUUUAAUAGUUGGAAGGACAUCUACAGGUAGGUGGGUGGGUGGGACAAUUUUCUUUGGGAGAAAUAGCCUUUCUAUCGGCGUUCUGGGAACAAGGGUACCCAGACUUGCCUGCCUGCGGCCCAUGGCGUGGCUCCAUCGACGGCCUGGUAUGGCCCAUCCACAACACCUUCAAGACAAGACCCUCGCAAGGGGCCAAGCCUCGCGAGGCGGGCGACAUCAAGACCUCCGGGGGGAGCGGCCUGAAGGAAAUAUGCCCUUGAGGCAAUAAUAAAGUUGUUAUUUUAUAUUUCCUUAUAUCAUGAUAAAUGUUUAUUAUUCAUGCUAGAAUUGUAUUAACCGGAAACAUGAUAGAUUUGUGGAUACAUAACAAAACAUCGUGUCCCUGGUAAGCCUCUACUAGACUAACUUGUUAAUCAAAGAUGGUUAAGUUUCCUAACCAUAGACAUAUGUUGACAUUUGAUGAAUGGGAUCACAUCAUUAGGAUAAUGAUGUGAUAGACAAGACCCAUCCGUUAGCUUAGCAUAAUGGUCGUUCAGUUUUAUUGCUAUAGCUUUCUUCAUGUCAUAUACAUAUAUUCCUUUGACUAUGAGAUUAUGCAACUCCCGAAUACCGGAGGAAUGCCUUGUGUGCUAUCAAACGUUACAACGUAACUGGGUGAUUAUAAAUAUGCUCUACAGGUAUCUUCGAAGGUGCUUGUUGGGUUAGCAUAGAUCAAGAUUAGGAUUUGUCACUCCGAGUAUCGGAGAGGUAUCUCUGGGCCCUCUCGAUAAUGCACAUCAUAAUAAGCCUUGCAAGCAAUGUGACUAAUGAGUUAGUUGCGGGAUGAUGCAUUACAAAACGAGUAAAGAGACUUGACGGUAACGAGAUUGAACUAGGUAUGAAGAUACCGACGGUCAAAUCUCGGGCAAGUAACAUACCGAUGACAAAGGGAAUAACGUAUGUUGUCAUUACGGUAUGACCGAUAAAGAUCUUCGUAGAAUAUGUGGGAACCAAUAUGAGCAUCCAGGUUCCGCUGUUGGUUAUUGACCGGAGAGGUGUCUCGAUCAUGUCUACAUAGUUCUCGAACCCGUAGGGUACGCACGCUUAACGUUCGAUGACGAUUUUGUAUUAUCUGAGUUAUGUGAUUUUGUAACCGAAUGCUGUUCGGAGUCCCGGAUGAGAUCACGGACAUGACGAGGAGUCUCAAAAUGGUCGAGAGGUAAAGAUUCAUAUAUAUGACGACAGUAUUCGCACACCGGAAGUGUUCCGGGGGUACCGGCUACGUAUUGGGUCACCGAAAGGGUUCCGGGCACCCCCACGGCAAAGAAAUGGGCCUUAUUGGGCCUAGGGCGGGACAGACCAGCCCCUUGUGGUCUGGUGCGCCCCCAUAUGGGCCGAUCUAAGUGGAGAAAGGAAAAGGGGAAGAGGAAAGGAAAUAGAGGGAAUAGGAUUCCCCCUUCCUUUCCCCUCUCCCCUCUUUCCUUCCCCCCUCCGGAGAUAAGGAAAGGGGGAGGCCGAAUUGGAGGAGGCCCCAAGUAGGAUUCCUCCUACUUGGGGUGCCCCAAGGCUUCUCCCCUCCCUCUCCCACCUAUAUAUAAAUGGGGAGGGGGUGCCUAGAACACACACCAACAAUUGUUAGCCGUGUGCGGCGUCCCCCUCCACAGUUUACGCCUCCGGUCAUAUUCACGUAGUGCUUAGGCGAAGCCUUGCGUGGAUUACUUCACCAUCACCGUCGCCACGCCGUCGUGCUGACGGAACUCUCCCUCGACACUUUGCUAGAUCAAGAGUUCGAGGAACGUCAUCGAGCUGAACGUGUGUAGAACUCGAAGGUGUCGUACGUUCGGUGCUUGAUCGGUCAGAACGAGAAGAAGUUCGACUACAUCAACCGCGUAAACAAACACUUCUGCUUUCGGUCUACGAGGGUACGUGGACACACUCUCCCCCUCUCGUUGCUAUGCAUCUCCUAGAUAGAUCUUGUGUGAUCGUAGGAUUUUUUUUGAAAUUGCAUGGUACGUUCCCCAACAGUGGCAUCUGAGCCAGGUCUAUCCGUAGAUGAUAUGCAUGAGUAGAACACAAAGAGUUGUGGGCGAUAAUAGUCAUAAUGCUUACCACCAACGUCUUAUUUUGAUUCGGCGAUAUUGUUGGAUGAAGCAGCCCGGACCAACCUUACAUGACCACGUUCAUGAGACCGGUUCCACCGACAGACAUGCAACUUGUUUUGCAUAAAGUUGGCUGGUGGGUGUCUGUUUCUCCAACUUUAGUUGAAUCGAAUUUGACUACGGCCGGUCCUUGUUGGAGGUUAAAACAUCACACUUGACGAAAAAUCGUUGUGGUUUUGAUGCGUAGGUAAGAACGGUUCUUACUAGAAGCCCGUAGCAGCCACGUGAAACUUGCAACAACAAAGUAGAGGACAUCUAACUUGUUUUUGCAUGACAUGUUGUGAUGUGAUAUGGUCAAUACAUGAUGUGAUAUACGUUAUUUUAUGAGAUGAUCAUGUUUUGUAAAAGUUACCAUCAACUGGCACGAGCCUUAUGGUUGUCGUUUUAUUGUAUGAAAUGUAAUCGCCAUGUAAUUGCUUUACUUUAUCACUAUGCGUUAGCGACAGUCAUAGAAGCAAUAGUUGGCGAGACGACAACGACGCUACGAUGGAGAUCAAGGUGUCAAGCCGGUGACAAUGGAGAUCAUGACGGUGCUUUGGAGAUGGAGAUCAAAGGCACAAGAUGAUGAUGGCCAUAUCAUGUCACAUAUUUUGAUUGCAUGUGAUGUUUAUCGUUUAUGCAUCUUAUUUUGCUUAGUACGGCGGUAGCAUUAUAAGAUGACCCCUCACUAAAUUUCAAGGUAUAAGUGUUCUCCCUGAGUAUGCACCGUCGCGACAGUUCGUCGUGCCGAGACACCACGUGAUGGUCGGGUGUGAUAAGCUCUACGUUCACAUACAACGGGUGCAACACAGUUUUGCACAUGCGGAAUACUCGGGUUAAACUUGACGAGCCUAGCAUGUACAUACAUGGCCUCGGAACAUAGAGACUGAAAGGUCGAACGUGAAUCAUAUAGUAGAUAUGAUCAACAUAGAGAUGUUCACCAUCGAAAACUACUCCAUCUCACGUGAUGAUCGGACAUGGUUUAGUUGAUUUGGAUCACGUGAUCAUUUAGAUGACUCGAGGGAUGUCUAUCUAAGUGGGAGUUCUUAAGUAAUAUGAUUAAUUGAACUUGAAUUUAUCAUGAACUUAGUCCUGAUAGUUUUUGCAUAUCUAUGUUGUAGAUCAAUGGCCCGUGCUACCGUUCCCUUGAAUUUUGUUCCUAGAGAAAGCUAAGUUGAAAGAUGAUGGUAGCAACUACAUGGACUGGGUCCGUAACUUGAGGAUUAUUCUCAUUGCUGCACAGCAGAAUUAUGUACUUGAUGCACCGCUAGGUGCGAGGCCUGUUGCAGGAGCAACUCCGGACGUUAUAACGUCUGGCAAACUUGAUCUGAUGACUACUCGAUAGUUCAGUGUGCCAUGGUCUACGGCUUAGAAUUGAAACUUCAAAGACGUUUUGAACGUCAUAGAGCAUAUGAGAUGUUCCAGGAGUUGAAGUUAAUAUUUCAAGCAAAUGCCCGAGUUGAGAGAUAUGAAGUCUCCAACAAGUUCUAUAGCUGCAAGAUGGAGGAGAAUAGUUCUGUCAGUGAACACAUACUCAGAAUGUCUGGGUACUUGAUACGUCUCCAACGUAUCUAUAAUUUUUGAUUGUUCCAUGCUAUUAUAUUAUCUGUUUGGAUGUUUAAUGGGAUUUACUAAGCACUUUAUUAUUAUUUUUGGGACUAACCUACUAACCCAAGGCCCAGUGCAAAUUGCUGUUUUUUUGCCUAUUUCAGUGUUUCGCAGAAAAGGAAUAUCAAACGGAGUCCAAACGGAAUGAAACCUUCGGGAGAGUUAUUUUUGGAACAAACGUGAUCCAGAGGACUUGGAGUGGACGUCAAGAAAGAAGCGAGGAGGCCACGAGGCAGGGAGGCGUGCCUGCCCCCCUGGGCACGCCCCCCACCCUCGUGGGCCCCUCGCAGCUCCACCGACCUACUUCUUCCUCCUAUAUAUACCCAUAUACCCCGAAACCAUCCAGGAGCACCACGAAACCCUAUUUCCACCGCCGCAACCUUCUGUACCCGUGAGAUCCCAUCUUGGAUCCUUUUCCGGCGCUCCGCCGAAGGGGGAAUCGAUCACGGAGGGCUUCUACACCAACACCAUAGCCUCUCCGAUGAUGUGUGAAUAGUUUACCACAGACCUUCGGGUCCAUAGUUAUUAGCUAGAUGGCUUCUUCUCUCUCUUUGGAUCUCAAUACAAAGUUCUCCUCGAUCUUCUUGGAGAUCUAUUCGAUGUAACUCUUUUUACGGUGUGUUUGUCGAGAUCCAAUGAAUUGUGGGUUUAUGAUCAAGAUUAUCUACGAACAAUAUUUGAAUCUCCUCUGAAUUCUUUUAUGUAUGAUUUGUUAUCUUUGCAAGUCUCUUCGAAUUAUCAGUUUGGUUUGGCCUACUAGAUUGAUCUUUCUUGCAAUGGGAGAAGUGCUUAGCUUUGAGUUCAAUCUUGCGUUGCUCGAUCCCAGUGACAGUAGGGGAAACGACACGUAUUGUAUUGUUGCCAUCGAGGAUAAAAAGGUGGGGUUUAUAUCAUAUUGCUUGAGUUUAUCCCUCUACAUCAUGUCAUCUGCCUAAUGCGUUACUCUGUUCUUAUGAACUUAAUACUCUAGAUGCAUGCUGGAUAGCGGUCGAUGUGUGGAGUAAUAGUAGUAGAUGCAGAAUCGUUUCGGUCUAUUUGUCGCGGACGUGAUGCCUAUAUACAUGAUCAUGCCUAGAUAUUCUCAUAAUUAUGCACUUUUCUAUCAAUUGCUCGACAGUAAUUUGUUCACCCACCGUAAUACUUAUGCUAUCUUGAGAGAAGCCACUAGUGAAACCUAUGCCCCCCGGGUCUAUUUUUCAUCAUAUUAAUCUCCCGUCAACUAGCUAUUUCUGUCGCCGUUUAUUUUGCAAUCUUUACUUUUAAUCUUUAUCAUAAAAAUACCAAAAAUAUUAUCUUAUCAUCUCUAUCAGAUCUCACUUUUGCAAGUGGCCGUGAAGGGAUUGACGACCCCUUUAUCACGUUGGUUGCAAGGUUCUUAUUUGUUUGUGUAGGUACGAGGGACUUGCGUGUGGCCUCCUACUGGAUUGAUACCUUGGUUCUCAAAAACUGAGGGAAAUACUUACGCUACUUUGCUGCAUCACCCUUUCCUCUUUAAGGGAAAACCAACGCAUGCUCAAGAGGUAGCAAGAAGGAUUUCUGGCCCCGUUGCUGGGAAGUCUACGCACAAGUCAAGACAUACCAAGUACCCAUCACAAACUCUUAUCCCCCGCAUUACAUUAUUUGCCAUUUGCCUCUCGUUUUCCUCUCCCCCACUUCACCCUUGCUGUUUUAUUCGCCACUACUAGGGAAAAGCUUAUACACAGACGCUUACUAGUAGCACGGGUUUAUACCCCUCGCUACUGCUACUUACUAGUAUCGCGUGUUUUUACCCCUCGCUACUACUAAGUUGAUAGUAGUAGCGCGGAUUUUUAACCCUCGCUACUACUAAGUGGUCUCUGCCGUGCCCCCCCGGGACAUGCCAUAGUAGUAACGAGGGUUAUAAACCCGCGCUACUACUUUAUGAAUACCUGUAGCGUCGGUCAGAUGCCUACGCUACUAGUAUAUUUCCACACCGCCCACCCCCGAUCACCCCACCAACCGUCCCACCCCACCCACCACUGUUUGUCUAAAAAAAGGGAAACGUUUGCUUUCGGACUGCCGGCGCAAGCUCGCGCCGGUCGCCCGCGACCCGUCCGAUCUAGGAGGAUCGAGCGACCCCUGAUAUGCCACGUGUGCUUCCAGCGAGUCCUCCUUACCUUAUCUACAACGUGCGUUGGUUCUCCUCCACACGUCGCGCUCCUUAGCUUUUCUCUCUCUCUUCUUUCUCCACAGCUGCUAACUAUCUCCAUCGCCCCCAUGCCAAGCCAUGGACGGCCACACGCCCUCUCCUUCAAAUCCCGCCUGCUACUCCUCCGACGAGCUCCUCACACACUCAUAGCUCUACUACGUGCGACCUCCUCUGUUCCCCUUUUGCUGCAUGGUCUAUUGGAGUCAACACGAGGCACUAGCAGAUGCUGCACAAGCAGUAGCUGAUGGGGGCUGCCUGUUACCACACGCAGUGGCUGCUGCUAGCCGGCGUUCGCCGCAGCUGCUACCACACGCCCGUGGUGCUAGAACCGGCACGGCGAGGUACAACCGGCGAGUGGCCAUGCUGCAACCAGCACACAGUAGUGCUGGAACCGGCAAGCGAAGAAGGUGUCAAUUUUUGCUGGAACCGACCGCAAUUUUUGCUACCAUCAUCUUCGAGUUUUGCUGGAACCAACCCAUUGUUUGUUGCCACGGGUUUUGUUUUUGCUGGAACCAUGUACCACCGUAUUUGUUUUUUGCUGGAAACCAGCCCAAAUUUUGCUACCAUGUUUUGUUUUUGCUGGAACUAGCGCACCAUUUUGUUACCAUCGUUUUGGAUUUUUGCCACUACAGGUGUUGUUGAUUGCUACAUUCAUUUUUCAUGACGAGUUUUGCUGUUUCAUGCCUAUGGGAAUAAGAGCUGGAGGAUUGGGAUCGACUACUACUCGAGCUGGAAACCAUCUGCCAAAGCUGCAUCCAUGACACAAAAUGCUACAUCCGGCAUUGUUUUUUUCUGGAACCAUAGAGAUUCACAUCGACGCACAAACAGGCGGCGACAACGGUGAUCUUUUUUUCUGGAACCAGCAUGAUUUUUUGCUACGACCGGCAGACAUUUUUGCUGCCACCGACAACUGAGACGAGGUCGGCGGGUGCGGUCGGCGUUCCCAGUUUUCACCGGUUGCAAUGCGGUCGUCUCCAUCAUCGUUGCAGCAUCUGUUGUCUGGCCUUGUAGCAUCCACAACCUGCCGUUGAACCAUCGUCUGGGGCGCAGCUCACAACACCAUUCAAGCAACUCGUGUUGCGCUGCCGCCGGGAUUCAGCACAGCUCCCACGCGCGACCCUUACAACAACGCCUGCUACAGGCCUACAGCAAGGUGAGAAGAAAAGGUCGUGGGCAAUAUAAUCGUCGAGGCGGGUGAAAGCUGUAGUGUAGCAAUGGAGGAAGGCCCAGCGUCGCGAGAUUAAUUCGCGUGUGGUAGAAGACGACCUGGACGCUAGCGUGAGAAAACGAAUGGCUGUCGUUAUAAGGUUUGAAGCGAUAUGGGAAGUGGAUUAAAGAAUAGUCAACAGAUCUAAUGGUUGGUGGACAAAGCAUCCGACGGCUCAGGUCCGACCGGCCGAAACUAGCGCCGGUCCGCCGGCGCCUAGCAGCCGCCAAAAAAAACACCCAACCCUCGAUCCAGAUCCCUUCCACCUCCUCUCUUCUCCCGAUUCACCCCUCGUCUCCCUCCCAUCCCACGCUGCCGCCGCCGCCUCCGCCGCUCACCACCCCGGCGACCUCCCCACGGGCGAUCCCCAGCCUCUCCCUCUCCUUCUCCCCUGCAUCCGUCGCCCGCACCUUCCCUCCCAGUCCCAGAUCAACCCGCGGGUGAGCCGGCGGCCAGGACACACGCGAAGCGACGGAGGUCGCCUGCGUCUCCCCAGUCGCCCUGCCACUGCUUCCUUGCUUUUCUCUGCGGUAGGAGAAGAAAACCUUGUCGGGGUGCCCAAGCCAUGGAGCACCAUCGUCAAGGUGCUCGGAUUCGUUUCGAUUUUGGGUUGCUUCUGCUCAUGUUGUUGGUUGCUCUCUUCUCUUGUGUUGGUGAUGAUGUGAGGGUGGCCCUUCCUUUUCUUUGCUGCAGUGCAGGAGAAGAAAACCCUAGACCGACCCGAGGAUUCGUCCGACAACCACCUGAGGAGGAAGCAAGCCAUGGACGGACCUCCCUUUCCUUGAAUGCUGCGCCCUCCCACCCAUCUUCCUGCAGCUGCAGGUAACCCCGGCCCCUCCCUCCCUGCGUGCACAUGCUAGUCUGGUCAUUACCCUGGCUGCGUACAGUAGCAGUAAACAUUGUUAGCUUAAUCCAAACUUAUUAGUCUACAAGUCUACAUCGGUGUAGUAGUCUAGGAAAACUAGCUUGAGUCGAUUUGCUUUUCUUGUGUUACUAGUGUCUGGCCAGAAUUAGUAAGGUGUGAUCAACGUGGCCGUAUAAUUAGAUUAGGAAAAAUACUAACUUGAGUCCGACUAGGACUUGUCCUAGCUAUCUAGCUGCGUUGGUAGGAGUAUAAUACCAGGAUUAGGAAUUUGUAGUCCAAGUCGGUUAAUAGGUGAGUCUGAUUUGACUAGAACCUGUAUCCACUGGUGGUGGCUGCGUCCAUAUAUAUACACCAGCUGGGUUCAUUCAAUGGAGUAACCUACACUAGCUCAUUCACUACUAGUUAGAUCAAUGGAGUAACCUGUUAUUUCCUUUGCAUUUUUUACUGUAAAAAGUCAUGGCUCACCUAUUAACCGGCGGCCGUAGAAGGACUAAUCACCUAAUUGAAACACUAAUAAUCAGAAGAUAGAUUGAACUUCGUUUAACGGAUAUACAACAUAUUGAAUUAAUUUCUAUUUGGUCUAAUUGAUAUAAUCAUGUCUAAUAGAGUUCACAAUCUUUACUUUGAAGAUCUGUAGCUAGACGUUAGAACUGUUGACAUGCAAAUAAUUAACUAACUGCAUGUCGUACUUGAAUUACAGGUUUUUUGUUUUCGUCACUCCUUUGUUAUAUGGAAGAAGACUUCAUGGUUAGCAUUAUUUAUUAUAACACAUUCAUAUAAGAUUUUCUUGCCACUGUAAGUAGGAAGUUAAUUUUUUUGGUCUGUUUUUUUUCUGCGGGGAUUUUGGUCUGUUUUUCUAAUAGUAUAUAUGAUCUUUCAGUCACAGUUCCAGUAUUUUAGAACUAAAUCUCCCCCCUAAUUAAAAUGCAGAAACGUGUUUUCUUUCAUGAUGUUUCAGUCACUGUCUUAGAAACACUAGAAAAUAUCUGUCGACAAACUUCUUCAUGGAACUAAUAUUUUUAUGCUAAUGACAAAUUGGAUUUAUAAUCUUUAACCUCGAAUCUUUAUAUGAUUUUAGUUACUACCAUAUCUGCUCUUGCAGGUCUACUAGAGUAUCCACUUCUGAAGAUAUUGAAUUGAUUCAUCACUCCAUGUUUUUCUGGGUCGUUUAGUUAUCACCCUGUUGCCACAAAACCAUGGCAUUCUAGAAAAUGUAAGUAUAGUAGGUUGCUCACAAGGAGAUGAGAGAAUUCAAGUGUCACUUUUAGAGAUGUAUUAUGAGAUUGAUCCACUGCAUCAUUUCGUCAUACAAAUUUGUUUGUUCUUAUAUGUGCCUUCGGACUAGCUAUUUCCAUAUUUUGUUUUAGGAAUUUAUUAGGAGUUCUGUAAUUUGGAGUUCUCCUAACUUUGAACACUGCAUUGGAGUUCUGUAAUUUGGAGUUCUCCUAACUUUCGUCAUACAAAUCUUUUAUGCACUUUCUUGUUGAGUGCCUUUAUUUUAAACUAUGAGAUAUGCCUAUGUUUAAUUCGGAAAUCUAAAUGCAAUCUUAUGUUGUUCCACCGAGGUUGAUUUUCAAAAUGUGUAUAUCUAAUAUUUCUUGCUGCAGCUUUAAGCUUCACUGUCAUCUAACUUUGUCUAGUUAAUUUUUGUUAUCUGUCUUUGAACCUAUAAAAUGGGUGAUAUGUACACUUGUCAUUAACUACAUGUGUUUCCUGAACAUGUCUAAAGUUUUUAUAAGAAAUGCAGUUCUGAGCUCGGGCAAUCGUAGGAUGACUAGACACAUACUACAUAUGAUUUGAGAUGUAUAUGUAUGCAGUUUCACCCUCUGCUAAAAAAUGUCCUAUACAAUGUAGACUUUGUGAAGCCACAUGAGCUAGGGGUUGCACCGCAGGAGCAUAGCGUGUACAAGUACUAAACAUUGAAGAUUGCAUUGCAGCUCAUCAGUAUGCCUUCCUUGCAAUCUUUGAAGCCAAUUAAAUUCGGAAGUGUUAUUUUUUCUGUACAAGUUUGUAUGUGUCAAGUACUUGCUAAUUGAUGUUUUGAGGGGUGCUCAUAUACUUACUCGGCAACAUGGAAAGUUUUCACAUUUGUUCUAGCUGUCUCUAUGGGUUAGCGACUUAGCAUACAUGUUGUAAUAAGGUUUCACAUUUGCUUCUCUGACAAAUAAGGUCUUUUUAUUCAUAGGUAGAAGAUAGCGACAGAGUGCUGCAGGAUAAUGAGAUGUUGAAGCGGUAGACUAAAUCCAUGACACCGAAGUGCAAUUGUGGCAGAUUAUCUCUAUCUUUUCUUUUCAUUUUUCUUAUUAUUGAGUGAGAACAGAAUGAGGAACUGUGUGAUAGUACAUACAACAACUGUAGUAAAAAGAAACUUAUGUUUGCAAUUGUUAAUGACAUAGAUACUUGCAUGUUCUUUGAAGUGGUUAUUUGUGAGUAGCAAUGCAUAAUGAGGUUUUUUGGCUGAUUUAUUUCCUUCGGUUUUCGGUUAACCAUGAAAUAGGAGCCCAGCAGUGCUCACUAUUGUGUUUACUGGGAACUGUAUGCAUAAAAUGGAAUUGGUGGAUUUUAUUUUUUUAAUUAUAAAUUAGUUAGUAGUGGCGUGGGAAAAAACUGCGCGCUAUUUAGGAUACUAGUAGCGUUGGUAGUAUGGACAUGCUACUACUAUUUUGUUAGUAGUGGCGCAGGUACGAAAUAGCAGUAGCGUGGGUGGCACUGUAGGAGAUAUGCCCUAGAGGCAAUAAUAAAUGAUAUUAUUUAUCUCCGAGUUCAUAAUUAUGUUUAUGUUCCAUGCUAUAACUGCUAUGGUUCUCGAGUCUGCAAUAACCACGAGGCUCGGAGGAAGACUCAUAUGCACGUGUGGAAUAAUAAACGGUAAAAUGUAUCCCUAGUUUGGCCUCUAAGACUAGCUCAAGUGUUGCAUGAUGGUUAUGUUUUCCUGAUCAUGGGCAUGUCUAUGUCAGCAACCUUGAGGGCACAAUGUUAAGAGAACAUUUGUGUUGAAUCGACCCGGCAUGAUGUUAUGCUAUGAGAUUCAUUCGUCACAAGUUUAUUGGUACAUAACACAGAGAUGGUUAACGUUUGCAUGAUUCCUUAGACCAUGAGAGUAUCGAGUUUCUUCAUGCUUGCUUCAUGAACUUUGGGGUUUGUUAAACGUCAUCCGUAAAUGGGUGGCUAUUACGGCGGCUUACGGGUUCAUGGAAAAGUGUGUCAAGUAACUUGAUAGCUCAAGAUUGGGAUUUGCUCCUCCGACGAUGGAGAGAUAUCUCUGGGCCCUCUCGGUGUUACGGUAUCCAUCAUCGUCUGGCCAGACACUUUGUGAUUUGAUCACGGGGAUGCCGGAACACGAUAACGAGAAAAGAGAACAAUACCGGUAACGAGGUAGCUAGCAUAGUGGACAAGUUGUUGAUCCACAGGAAUGCCAACAUGUCUCACCUCGGGUAUUUGUAACAUAUCGCGAAGCAACAGGACUAGCACACGGCAACUGGGGGUUCACUCGAAUAUUUAUUCGUGUGGGUAUAGGGGUCAAUAUGGGUGUCCACGGUUCCGAUGUUGAUCAUUGAUCGGAAGGGGUUCCGGGUCAUGUCUAUACUUCACCGAACCUAUAGGGUCACACGCUUAAGGGUCAUCUAUCUGCUGAAUACUAGACAGGGAGUCUGAGAGAAAAUCACCGAAAAAGUUUCGGACAGCGGAAUCGUACCGCAGAGAGAGGUCAUCGGAUAAGUUUCGAUGAUACCGAAAAGUUGUUUCGGGAUACACCAUUAAGUCAAAUUGGUUUCGGCACAUGCCUGAUAAUUCUUGGAGGAUGCCAGAAUCAUUCUGGAAGCUUUUUGGAAUUUUCUGAGAUAAAAACCGGAAAUGUUCCGGAGCUGCCGGAGCCACUUCAGAUGCGUUUCGCAGAUGAAAAUCACUAAAACCGGAAUUGUUUCGGAACGCGUUGAAAAUCAUUUUAGUGGGUACUGGAAAUGUUCUUAGCCCACAUAAAUAUUUUCAGUUCGAUCAGACGCUGAAAAAUGUCGUCGUGAAUAGAGAAAAUCAGCUUUAUGGUUACUUUAUGAAAAGCCACCUUUUGGGGCUUUGCUCCAAAAGAUUUUGGGGAUGACAUGGAUGGAUAGGAGCCAUUUUUUGGGCCCCUCAUGGGGGUGUGGCCGGCCACAUGGGGUAUCCCCCCUUGGGGACCCUCUUGUUCCUUGGUUUCACUCCUAGGUCCUUGUGGAAGGACUUCAUUCAUGUGCAUUUUGGGUUUUUUGUGAAACUACCCUACCCCCUUGGGAUUUCCUAUAAAUAGAGGUGGAGGGGCAGCCCUCCACACUCAUCCCUUGCUCUCAUACACAUGCCAUGCAUUAUCUGGCUUCUUCUCUCCCUCCCACGAAAAGAGUUUCGUAGAGCCGUAAGGCUGUCUGGGUUCCGGCAGGAACUAGUUCUGGACGACGAAGCCCUGCCGGAUAGAUGACACCGUAUGUGUGCAACUCUGUAGAGAGAUCGUAGUUUCGGUCUUAGUUCGUGAGUGCCUCCCGAAGGGCUGUCCAUGUGACCGUCCGAGUUUUGAAGGUCCUCCCGAAGGGCUGUCCGAGUGACCGUUCGAGUUUCGAAGGUCCUCCCGAAGGGCUGUCCGCGACACCGUCCGGGGGGCUGUUCGACCGCCUCCCGGAGGGCUGUCUGAGGAGCAGAUGAGGGUAUACAUCCUCGCGGUUGGGAGGUUGUAAAUCCUAGCUGCGGGGAUCUGCACCGCCGAUCGUCAUCGACUCUACUUCCCGCUGCGCUACGAGUCGGUAACGAAAAAGAUCAAACCAUGUAUGCAGUCUCCAUAGUGGUCCUGGGCUGGUGCGUAGGUCGGAAAAUUUUUGUUUUCUGCUGCGUUACCCUACAGGCACAUGCUACUACUAACUAUUAGCUGUAGCGCGAUACUAGUAGCGCGGGUACCCGCGUUGCUAAUAGCCAUUUUACCCGCGCUGCUAGUAGCCUUUUUCCUAGUAGUGCGUCCUCUUUUUCCGUUCGCCCUUCCUCUUGCUUCUUGUGUAUCAGUGUGUUAGAUCGUUUGCCUUGCUGUCAUGGCUAGUCCUUCUAUCAUUGUUAGUACUCCCGAUCAUGAAGUUCUUAAUUUUAAACAAAGGAAGGGAGAAAAUCUAAAAGACGCUUGGCAUAGAAUUUGCAAUGCUCAGAAUAGAUCUAUUAGGAAGCAAUCCACUUUCGUUCUUCUUCGCAAUUUUUAUGUAGGCAUCACCCCUUGAAAUAGAUAUAUUCUUGAUACCAUUACCGGAGGGAAUUUCUUGGGUAGCCAUACUUUUGAUUCUUAUAAUGCUAUGAUAGAUUUGGUUGGUCCACCACCUCUUUUGGUUAAUGAAACUAUUUUAACUUUGGAACAUGUGAUGCAAAGGCUUGAAAUUAUUGAAAAUAAAGUUGCCACUGUAGAGUUGAUUGAAAAUUUGGAUAAAAAGAUCCACAACCAAAUUACCCAAUACGGAUCUAAGGUAGGAGUUGCUCUUAUUUUUUUUAAGAAAAGGAACCCAUAGUUAACGAAAAGAUAGAUCAAGAUUCCACAAGAAUUGAUAAAAUUGAGUUUAUUAUUACUAACUUAGGGUCUGCCUUUUCUUCCGUGAAAAAUACUCCAAAACCUCCUAAUGCUAAAGUUGCCAAAUUAAUGUAUGUUCCUAAAAAUAAGGGUGAAUCUUCUAGUAAGGGAAAUGCGGAUCUCAAAUUAAUAAGUGUUCACCCCAACUUUUUCGCUAUCAUUAAUGAACCUUUUGCUACAAAUAAAUUUCUUGAUUUCUUGCCUAUGAGUUUGAUCAUUAAUAAAAAGAAGGAAACUCCUAAGGGUUAUAAGUGUUCUAUUGAAGAAUUGCCUACCAAAGAUGAUAAUACCUAGAUCUAUCCUUGCCUUUAUGCCUAGCUAGGGGCGUUAAACGAUAGCACUUGUUGGGAGGCAACCCAAUUUUAUUUUUGUUUCCUGCUUUUUGGUUCUGUUUAGUAAUAAAUAAUUCAUCUAGCUUCUGUUUAUAUGUGGUUUCAUGUUUUAAUUAGUGUUUGUGCCAAGUAGAAUCUUUGGGAAGACUUGGGUGAAGUCUUUUUGAUCUUGCUGUAAAAAACAGAAACUUUAGCGCUCAUGAGAUUAGCUACAACUUUUUACUGGAGAGUGCUAUUUAGUUGAUUCUUUUUGCAGAUGAUUAAUAGAUAAAUUCCUCACGUCCAGAAAUUUAUUUUAGAAUUUUUGGAGUUCCAGAAGUAUACGUUUGAUCCAGAUUACUACAGACUGUUCUGUUUUUGACAGUUUCUGUUUUUCGUGUGUUGUUUGUUUAUUUUGAUGAAUCUAUGGCUAGUAUCGGAGGUUAUGAACCAUAGAGAAGUUGAAAUACAGUAGGUUUAAAACCAAUAUAAAUAAAGAAUGAGUUCAUUACAGUACCUUGAAGUGAUGGUUUGCUUUCUUAUACUAACAGAGCUCAUGAGAUUUUCUGUUAAGUUUUGUGUUGUGAAGUUUUCAAGUUUUGGGUAAAGAUUUGAUGGAUUAUGGAACAAGGAGUGGCAAGAGCCUAAGCUUGGGGAUGCCCAAGGCACCCCAAGAUAAAAUUCAAGGACAACCAAAAGCCUAAGCUUGGGGAUGCCCCGGAAGGCAUCCCCUUUUUCGUCUUCGUCCACCGGUAACUUUACUUGAUGCUAUAUUUUUAUUCACCACGUGAUAUGUGUUUUGCUUGGAGCGUCUUGUAUGAUUUGAGUCUUUGCUUUUUAGUUCACCACAAUCAUCCUUGAUGUACACACCUUUUGGGAGAGACACACAUUAAUCGGAAUUUAUUAGAAUACUGUAUGUGCUUCACUUAUAUCUUUUGAGCUAAAUAAUUUUGCUCUAGUGCUUCACUUAUAUCUUUUAGAGCACGGUGGUGGUUUUAUUUUAUAGAAAUUAUUGAUCUCUCAUGCUUCACUUAUAUUAUUUUGAGAGUCUUUUAGAACAACAUGAUAGUUUGCUUUGGCUAUAAAAUUAGUCCUAAUAUGAUGAACAUCCAAGAUAGGUAUAAUAAAAACUAUCAUAUAGAGUGCAUUGAAUACUAUGAGAAGUUUGAUACUCGAUAAUUGUUUUGAGAUAUGAAUAUGGUGAUAUUAGAGUCAUGCUAGUUGAGUAGUUGUGAAUUUGAGAAAUACUUGUUCUAAAAUUUGUGAUUCCCGUAGCAUGCACGUAUGGUGAACCGUUAUGUGAUGAAGUCGGAGCAUGAUUUAUUUAUUGAUUGUCUUCCUUAUGAGUGGCGGUCGGGGACGAGCGAUGGUCUUUUCCUACCAAUCUAUCCCCCUAGGAGCAUGCGCGUAGUACUUUGUUUCGAUAACUAAUAGAUUUUUGCAAUAAGUAUGUGAGUUCUUUAUGACUAAUGUUGAGUCCAUGGAUUAUACGCACUCUCACCCUUCCACCAUUGCUAGCCUCUCUAAUACCGCGCAUCUUUCGCCGGUAUCAUACACCCACCAUAUACCUUCCUCAAAACAGCCACCAUACCUACCUAUUAUGGCAUUUCCAUAGCCAUUCCGAGAUAUAUUACCAUGCAACUUACCACCGUCCCGUUUAUUAUGACACGCUUCAUCAUUGUCAUAUUGCUUUGCAUGAUCAUGUAGUGGACAUCGUAUUUGUGGCAAAGCCACCUUCAUAAUUCUUUCAUACAUGUCACUCUUGAUUAAUUGCAUAUCCCGGUACACCGCCGGAGGCAUUCACAUAGAGUCAUAUUUUGUUCUAAGUAUUGAGUUGUAAGUAAAUAAAAGUGUGAUGAUCAUCAUUAUUAGAGCAUUGUCCCAAGUGAGGAAAGGAUGAUGGAGACUAUGAUUCCCCCACAAGUCGGAUGAGACUUCGGACGAAAAAAAAGAGGCCAUAAAAAAAAGAGAAAGGCCCAAAUAAAAAAAAUAAAAAAAGAGAGAAAAAGAGAGAAGGGACAAUGUUACUAUCCUUUUUCCACACUUGUGCUUCAAAGUAGCACCAUGAUCUUCAUGAUAGAGAGUCUCCUAUGUUGUCACUUUCAUAUACUAGUGGGAAUUUUACAUUAUAGAACUUGGCUUGUAUAUUCCAGUGAUGGGCUUCCUCAAAAUGCCCUAGGUCUUCGUGAGCAAGCGAGUUGGAUGCACACCCACUUAGUUUUUUUGUUGAGCUUUCAUACACUUAUAGCUCUAGUGCAUCCGUUGCAUGGCAAUCCCUACUCACUCACAUUGAUAUCUAUUAAUGGGCAUCUCCAUAGACCGUUGAUAAGCCUAGUUGAUGUGAGACUAUUUUCUCCUUUUUUGUCUUCUCCACAACCACCAUUCUAUUCCACAUAUAGUGCUAUGUCCAUGGCUCACGCUCAUGUAUUGCGUGAAGAUUGAAAAAGUUUGAGAACAUCAAAAGUAUGAAAAAAUUGCUUGGCUUGUCAUCGGGGUUGUGCAUGAUUAAAUACUUUGUGUGAUGAAGAUAGAGCAUAGCCAGACUAUAUGAUUUUGUAGGGAUAACUUUCUUUGGCCAUGUUAUUUUGAGAAGACAAGAUUGCUUUGUUAGUAUGCUUGAAAUAUUAUUAUUUUUAUGUCAAUAUUAAACUUUUAUCUUGAAUCUCUCGGAUCUGAAUAUUCAUGCCACAAUAAAGAAAAUUACAUUGAGAAAUAUGCUAGGUAGCAUUCCACAUCAAAAAUUCUGUUUUUAUCAUUUACCUACUCGAGGACGAGUAGGAAUUAAGCUUGGGGAUGCUUGAUACGUCUCCAACGUAUCUAUAAUUUUUGAUUGUUCCAUGCUAUUAUAUUAUCUGUUUUGGAUGUUUAAUGGGCUUUACUAAUCACUUUAUUAUUAUUUUUGGGACUAACCUACUAACCCAAGGCCUAGUGCAAAUUGCUGUUUUUUUUGCCUAUUUCAGUGUUUUGCAGAAAAGGAAUAUCAAACGGAGUCCAAACGGAAUGAAACCUUCGGGAGAGUUAUUAACGUGAUCCAGAGGACUUGGAGUGGACGUCAAGAAAGAAGCGAGGAGGCCAUGAGGCAGGGAGGCGCGCCUGCCCCCCUGGGCGCGCCCCAACCCUCAUGGGCCCCUCGCAGCUCCACCGACCUACUUCUUCCUCCUAUAUAUACCCAUAUACCCUGAAACCAUCCAGAAGCACCACGAAACCCUAUUUCCACCGCCGCAACCUUCUGUACCCGUGAGAUCCCAUCUUGGGGCCUUUCCAACGCUCCGCCGGAGGGGGAAUUGAUCACGGAGGGCUUCUACAUCAACACCAUAGCCUCUCCGAUGAUGUGUGAGUAGUUUACCACAGACCUUCGGGUCCAUAGUUAUUAGCUAGAUGGCUUCUUCUCUCUCUUUGGAUCUUAAUACAAAGUUCUCCUCGAUCUUCUUGGAGAUCUAUUCGAUGUAACUCUUUUUGUGGUGUGUUUGUCGAGAUCCGAUGAAUUGUGGGUUUAUGAUCAAGAUUAUCUAUGAACAAUAUUUGAAUCUCCUCUGAAUUCUUUUAUGUAUGAUUUGUUAUCUUUGCAAGUCUCUUCGAAUUAUCAGUUUGGUUUGGCCUACUAGAUUGAUCUUUCUUGCAAUGGGAGAAGUGCUUAGCUUUGGGUUCAAUCUUGCGUUGCUCGAUCCCAGUGACAGUAGGGGAAACGACACAUAUUGUAUUGUUGCCGUCGAGGGUAAAAAGAUGGGGUUUAUAUCAUAUUGCUUGAGUUUAUCCCUCUACAUCAUGUUAUCUUGCCUAAUGCGUUACUCUGUUCUUAUGAACUUAAUACUCUAGAUGCAUGCCGGAUAGCGGUCGAUGUAUGGAGUAAUAGUAGUAGAUGCAGAAUCGUUUCGGUCUACUUGUCGCGGACGUGAUGCCUAUAUACAUGAUCAUGCCUAGAUAUUCUCAUAAUUAUGCACUUUUCUAUCAAUUGCUCGACAGUAAUUUGUUCACCCACCGUAAUACUUAUGCUAUCUUGAGAGAAGCCACUAGUGAAACCUAUGGCCCCCGGGUCUAUUUUCCAUCAUAUUAAUCUCCCGUCAACUAGCUAUUUCUGUCACCGUUUAUUUUGCAAUCUUUACUUUUAAUCUUUAUCAUAAAAUACCAAAAAUAUUAUCUUAUUAUCUCUAUCAGAUCUCCCUUGUGCAAGUGGCCGUGAAGGGAUUGACAACCCCUUUAUUGCGUUGGUUGCAAGGUUCUUAUUUGUUUGUGUAGGUACUAGGGACUUGCGUGUGGCCUCCUACUAGAUUGAUACCUUGGUUCUCAAAAACUGAGGGAAAUACUUACGCUACUUUGCCGCAUCACCCUUUCCUCUUCAAGGGAAAACCAACGCAUGCUCAAGAGGUAGCAGUACCAUAACCACUUGACUCAGCUGGGAGUUAAUCUUCCUGAUGAUAGUGUCAUUGACAGAGUUCUUCAAUCACUGCCACCAAGCUAUAAAGGCUUCGUGAUGAACUAUAAUAUGCAAGGGAUGAAUAAGACGAUUCCCGAGCUCUUCGCAAUGCUUAAGGCUGCGGAGGUAGAAAUCAAGUAGGAGCAUCAAGUGUUGCUGGUUAACAAGACCACUAGUUUCAAGAAAAAGGGCAAAGGGAAGAAGGGGAACUUCAAAAGAAUAGCAAACACGUUGCUGCUCCCGGGAAGAAGCCAAAGUCUGGACCUAAGCCUGAAACUGAGUGCUUCUACUGCAAAGGGACUGGUCACUGGAAGCGGAACUGCCCCAAGUAUUUGGCGGAUAAGAAGGAUGGCAAAGUGAACAAAUGUAUAUUUGAUAUACAUGUUAUUGAUGUGUACAUUACUAAUGCUCGUAGUAGCGCCUGGGUAUUUGAUACUGGUUCUGUUUCUCAUAUUUGCAACUCGAAACAAGGGCUACGGAUUAAACGAAGAUUGGCUAAGGACGAGGUGACGAUGCGCGUCGGAAAUGGUUCCAAGGUCGAUGUGAUUGUCGUCGGCACGCUACGUCUACAUCUACCUUCGGGAUUAGUUUUAGACCUGAAUAAUUGUUAUUUGGCGCUAGCAUUGAGCAUGAACUUUAUAUCUAGAUCUUGUUUGAUGCGAGACGGUUAUUCAUUUAAAUAAGAGAAUAAUGGUUGUUCUAUUUAUAUGAGUAAUAUCUUUUAUGGUCAUGCACCCUUGAUGAGUGGUCUAUUUUUGUUGAAUCUCGAUCGUAGUGAUACACAUAUUCAUAAUAUUGAUGCCAAAAGAAGCAAAGUUAAUAAUGAUAGUGCAACUUAUUUGUGGCACUGCCGUUUAGGUCAUAUUGGUGUAAAGCGCAUGAAGAAACUCCAUGCAGAUGGACUUUUGGAAUCACUUGAUGCUUGCGAACCAUGCCUCAUGGGCAAGAUGACUAAGACUCCGUUCUUCGGAACAAUGGAGCGAGCCACUGACUUAUUGGAAAUAAUGCAUACCGAUGUAUGCGGUCCGAUGAGUGUUGAGGCUCGCGACGUGUAUCGUUAUUUUCCGACCUUCACAGAUGAUUUGAGAAGAUAUGGGUAUAUCUACCCUCAUAUGGGCCGAUCUAAGUGGAGAAAGGAAAAGGGGAAGAGGAAAGGAAAUAGAGGGAAUAUGAUUCCCCCUACCUUUCCCCUCUCCCCUCUUUCCUUCCCCCCUCCGGAGAUAAGGAAAGGGGGAGGCUGAAUUGGAGGAGGCCCCAAGUAGGAUUCCUCCUACUUGGGGCGCCCCAAGGCUGCUCCCCUCCCUCUCCCACCUAUAUAUACAUGGGGAUGGGCGCCUAGAACACACACCAACAAUUGUUAGCCAUGUACGGCGCCCCCCUCCACAGUUUAUGCCUCCGGUCAUAUUCACAUAGUGCAUAGGCGAAGCCCUGCGCGGAUUACUUCACCAUCACCGUCACCACGCCGUCGUGCUGAUGGAACUCUCCCUCGACACUUUGUUGGAUCAAGAGUUCGAGGGACGUCAUCGAGAUGAACGUGUGCAGAACUCGGAGGUGCCGUACGUUCGGUGCUUGAUCGAUCGGAACGAGAAAAAGUUCGACUACAUCAACCGCGUAAACAAACACUUCCGCUUUCGGCCCACGAGGGUACGUGGACACACUCUCCCCCUCUCAUUGCUAUGCAUCUCCUAUAUAGAUCUUGCGUGAUCGUAGGAAUUUUUUGAAAUUGCAUGCUACGUUGGCUGCUGAUGUCUACUACGCAACUUUAUUCUUGUAGACACAUGUUGGGCCUCCAAGCGCAGAGUUUUGUAGGACAGUAGCAAUUUUUACUCAAGUGGAUGACCUAAGGUUUAUCAAUCCGUAGGAGGCGUAGGAUAAAGAUAUAUAGUCUCUCUCAAAGGACCCUGCAACCAAAUACAAAAAAUCUCUUGUGUCCCCAACACACCCAAUACAAUGGUAAUUUGUAUAGGUGCACUAGUUGGGCGAAGAGAUGGUGAUAAAAAUGUAAUAUUGAUGGUAGAAAUAUAUUUUUAUAAUCUGAAUAAAUAAAAAUAGCAAGGUAGCAAUUGAUAAAAGUGAGCACAAACGGUAUUGCAAUACUUAAAAAGUGAGGCCUAGGGUCCGUACUUUCACUAGUGCAAUCUCCCAACAAUGCUAAUAUAAUUGGAUCAUAUAACCAUCCCUCAACGUGCGAGGAAGAAUCACUCCAAAGUUCCUAUCUAGCGAAGAACAUAAGAAUAAAUUGUUUGUAGGGUACGAAACCACCUCAAAGCUAUUCUUUCCGAUCUAGAGUUCGUACUAAAAUAACAACAAGCUAUUCUUUCUGAUCGAUCUAACCAAGAGUUCGUACUAAAAUAACACUAAAGCAAAUUCAGAUUCAUAAUACUCAAUCCGACACAAAGAACUUCAAAGAGUGCCCCAAGAUUUCUACCGGAGAAACAAAGACAAGAACAUGCAUAAACCCCUAUGCAUAGAUUACCCCAAUGUCACCUCGGGAAUCCGCGAGUUGAGUGCCAAAACAUAUAUCAAGUGAAUCAAUACGAUACCCCAUUGUCACCACGAGUAUUCAAUUGCAAGACAUAUAUAAAGUGUUCUCAAAUCCAUAAAAGUAUUCAAUCCUAUAACAACGAAAUCACAAAGGGAAAAACUCAAUUCAUCACAACAAGAUAGAGAGGGGAAAACACCAUAUGAUUCAACUAUAUUAACAAAGCCCGCGAUACAUCAAGAUCGUGACAUCUCAAGAACACGAGAGAGAGAGAGAGAGAGAGAGAGAGAGAGAGAUUAAACACAUAGCUAUUGGUACAAACCCUCAGCCCCGAUGGUGGACUACUCCCUCCUCAUCAUGGUGGCCGCUGGGAUGAUGAAGAUGGCCACCGGUGAUGAUUUCCCCCCUCCGGCAGGGUGCUGAAAAGGGUCUAGAUUCAUUUUCGGUGGCUACAGAGCCUUGCGGCGGCGGAACUUCUGAUCUAGGUUAACCCCGAGGGUUUCUGGAAUUUUUGGAAAUUUAUAGUGUAAAGAGAGGGUGCGGGAGGCCACCGAGGUGGGCACAACCCACCUGGGCGCGCCUAUGCCCCCCUCGGGGCACCCCCUAGGUGCUGCUCUGGCCCAUCCUAGGUGUCCUGCUCCAUAAAAAAUCUCCAAAAAGUUUCACGGCGUUUGGACUUCGUUUGAUAUUGAUUUCCUGCGAUGUAAGAAACAAGCAAAAAACUGCAACUGGCACUGGACACUGGGUCAAUAAGUUAGUCCCAAAAAGUGAUAUAAAGUUGCUAUAAAAUGAUUGUAAAACAUCCAAGAAUGAUAAUAUAUCAAUAUGAAUACUUCAUAAAUUAUAGAUACGUUGGAGACGUAUCAGCUGCCUCCCGAGGAGUGGAGAUUUCUAUGUAGGUGCCCACCUCGUGAGGUUGAGGUGACGCAAGCCAUGACGACCAAGGCCAGGCGGGCGCAGAGGAGCAGGUUUCCUCUUUGGUGCUAAGGAGGCAAGCGUAGGCGUGGGAUCCCUUCCCGCCUACAUUUUGGGGGAAGAGGACCGAGGCCACUAUAAAUAUAGGUUAGCCACCACCAUAGGGGAAGGCCGAUCCCUUUCCACCCUCACCAGAGCAGACCUCGCGAGGUUGUUCAUCCCUUAUACUAGUUCAUCCUCAACCCCUCGUGAGGCUAAUCCACCUGAAAGUAGGAGUAGGGUCUUACACCGCAAGGUGGCCCGAACCUGGGUAACUGAUGUGUCCAUCUUCUUCCUUCUUCACCGAGUUAGGCCGUGCGGACGACGAGCUGGCUGGCUAAAGAGGUCGAGUUCUUCGCACACGCCCCAGAGUUCGAACCUUUCUUGGGUCUGCGGAGCCCUGAAUCUGACAAUUUCCUUUUCUGCAAUGAUACAUUUUUAAUAGCUAGAUCAACAAUUAUUCAUGAAAUCACGGUUACAUCAUCAUUAGAACAUCCAAUAGAAACUUUGGUGGAUUAUCGGGUCAAUUCUCGAUGAACCGAGGAUGGUUCGAAAGAAAAUCCGAUGGGGGUGGAUGUGUACUAGAGAGACAUUGGAAGAGAAAAAAUAUAUAGGUUGAAAACAAAUUUAAAUCUCGAGUGAGGUGGUUUUUGUGUUGGAUACAUUUGCCCUUGAUUAGCUACUCCAUACAACUUCAUCAGCAUAGACACACAAUUCCAAAGGCCAACUUGGCAGAAUCCUAGUUGAAUAUCUUAACGCUCUUACUGCACUUGAACAAUGAGAUUUUGAAAAGAAGUCUGGGAAACAUGCAUUUAAUUCUAAUAUAAUCCCUAGAAAAAAUGGUAUAAAAAACCGCUUUCAUGCACCUAGUGAAUAAAUUGCUUUUCCUAGUAUAUGAGAGAGGGGAAUUUUUUCGAUUAAACUUCACAUUCAUGCUAAUAAAUUUGUGGUGAAUUUAAACUUUCAUUCAAAUCACUGAGUCAAUUUGCUAUAAAAUUUGACAUGACCUUUGCUCUUAUUUAGAGUUUUGGUUCAUUCUCAAACCAGAAAUAGUAUGAAGGACUUAGAAAUUAAUAGUACAAUUCAAUGUGAAUUGGAAAUUCAUUUAUAAAUAAUAAACAACUGAUAAGGGAAAAUCAAACUUUAUUGAUAAUUGGGAAAUAAUACAAAGUUAUGUUACAAAAAAAUAAAGGAAACUUUAUUUAAAAAUGCCAUUACAAAUUCUUACAAAAAGAAUGAACUAUAGUAAAUCUAUCUAUUUUCUAUCCUAUUAUAAAUCUUCAAGAUCUUCUUGAUCUUCUUCAUUUCCAAAAUCAGCAAAAGAAGUACCAAAGGAAAAAAAGAAAUUAUUAUUGUUAAAAGCGCCCCCUCCUUCAUGGAGGGAUAGUAAGAUUGAGCCCACCUCCAUCCUCUUCUCAGUUUCCCAAGUCGUCCUUCGUCUCGGUUCUAGUAUCACGUUAGAUCUCUGAACUGAAGCCAGAUUAAGCUCGCCGUUUCCGGUGGGUCGUCGGCGUCGGAGUGGACGUUGGAGGGGCCAGUGUUUUGUGUGGCCGGGAGGGAGGGAGUGGGUUGGGUUCGUUGGUGGGUGACGUCGGCCCCGCAACCCUCGCCUCGCAACUCGUCGUUGCUGCCUUUCUUACGUGUCUGUCAGUAGGAGUGGAGCCAACCACCGCUCUCCGUCACGCUAGGCCUUCUGGUGCGGAAAGAUAUUUGUGAUUCGUAAAUGAUAAAUAAAAAUAGGUUGUUAGACGUUUAUUGAAAUGACACCAGCUGAAGGUCAACGUUUUCUGAGACCUUUUCAUAUUUCCAGUACAAUUUAUCCAAAACUUAGUUACCACAGUAUUCAGAGGAGCAUGCCUGGAAGUGUCGUAUUCCAUUUUUCUCUUGUUCGGAGCAUACAAUGUACACUGAUUUAUCUACUACUACCUCCGUUUCUAAAUAUAAGUCUUUUUAGAUAUUUCACUACAGACUACAUACGAAGUAAAAUGAGUAAAUCUACACUCUAAAAUAUGUCUAUAUACAUCCGUAUAUAGUUCAUAGUGGAAUCUCUAAAAAGACUUACAUUUAGAAACGGAGGGAGUGUAUGGAACUUGCAGAAAUACGAGUAUAGCGACACCAGCUUGCUGACAUGCACUCUCUCUCUCUCUCUCUCUCUCUCUCUCUCUCUCUAUGUUUUGACAGCUUGGCCGCCCUUUGUUGCUGCUGUCUGCUGGAAGCUUGCUUCUAAGUUCUAAGCGAGAGGGGACAGAUUUGGUGCAGCUAUGUGUUCCAUAUUGAAAAUUGUGAUUGGUUGCUAAUUAGUACUCCCUCUGUCCUGUAAUGUAGGACGUUUUUGCAAACUAACAUAGCUUGCAAAAACGUCUUGCAUUAUAGGACGGAGGGAGUAGGAGAUUACAAGAACUCCUUGCCGUCAUGUUUGUAUGUUCAGAUGAUUGCUGCACCUUUUCACAAAAGAAGAGAUGAUUGCUGUACCCAGUGAACAAGAAAAAUCGAGCAUGAAAGCUCUAGCAAAGCCAGAAUACCCUGAAGAAAAGGCUAAUCCACGGCAUGCUGUCUGAAGAUAAAACUAUUCACAGUAGAAUAUACUACCGUUUAUGUCAGACACACACCAAUAAUAACUUGGAAAUUCAGCAGGGUUUCAACAACAUAACAAACUUGGUAAUCCAACAGGAGUUCAAGAAAUUCAGCAGGGUUUCAACAACAUAACAAACUUGGAAAUUCAGCAGGGUUUCAACAACAUAACAGACCACGACAGUACUAAGGGAGUGCCACUAGUGAGCAUCCGACAGAUUACUGCUGCACACCAUUACAGCAGCAUACACACACAUACACAUAACAGGACGGAGGAGAGGCGAAAGCAUCAACUGAAGGCCGUCACUCAGUGGCAACCAGCGGCAUGUUUCUGCGGCCUGAUCCAGUCGUGCAGCACCAUGGUCACCCUGUCGUGCUGCUUCACGGAGGAUCCGUGCAGGAGCGGGGCGGCGCGGGCGAGGACGCGGUUGUAGUGGACGUACUCCUUCUGCCGGAACCUCUCCUGCUCGGGCGGCGUCAUCUCCUCCCACUCGGCGUGCAGCUUCUCCGACAGGCUCCGGUCGAUGUUGUACCUGGUGGCGCCGAAGCACGUCUGGCUCAGGACCCGCCUCGCAAGGGUCUGCAGGUCGGGCACACGAGCCCCGUGCGUCGACCACCAUUCAACU
rnacentral:lncRNA from 1 species